UACGUGGGUGGCAAGCGUUGUCCGGAUUUAUUGGGCUUAAAGGGUGCGUAGGCGGCAUUUUAAGUCAGUGGUGAAAUACUUCAGCUUAACUGGAGAGGUGCCAUUGAUACUGGGAUGCUUGAGUACUGAUGAGGUAGGCGGAAUGGACGGUGUAGCGGUGAAAUGCUUAGAUAUCGUCCAGAACACCGAUAGCGAAGGCAGCUUACUAAGGAGUAACUGACGCUGAGGCACGAAAGUGUGGGGAUCAAACAGG
rnacentral:rRNA from 1 species